UACGGGGGGGGCAAGCGUUGUUCGGAAUUACUGGGCGUAAAGGGCUCGUAGGCGGCCAACUAAGUCAGACGUGAAAUCCCUCGGCUUAACCGGGGAACUGCGUCUGAUACUGGAUGGCUUGAGGUUGGGAGAGGGAUGCGGAAUUCCAGGUGUAGCGGUGAAGUGCGUAGAUAUCAGGAGGAACACCGGUGGCGAAGGCGGGUCUCUGGGCCGAUACUGACGCUGAGGAGCGAAAGCGUGGGGAGCGAACGGG
rnacentral:rRNA from 1 species